CAGGGGGUGGGGAGGGGGGAGAGGAGGCUGGGAGGGGUUUCUUGGAGGAUUUGAACCUGACUUGUAUGAUUCCAAGGAGGGGUUAAGGAAGCAGCAAAUUCUCAUAAAAAGACCAGACUUAAUGGUCUGACUGAGACAAGAAGGACCCUGGUGGUCAUGGCCCCCAGACCUUCUGUUGGCCCAGCACAGGAACCAUUUCCGAAGCCAACUCUUCAGACAUGGAUUGGACUGGACGAUGGGUUGGAGAGGAAUGCUGGUGAGGCGUGAGCUUCUUGGAUCAGGUGGACACUUGAGACUAUGUUGGCAUCUCCUGCCCGGAGGGGAGAAGAGAGGGUGGAGGGGGUUAGAAGCUGGCAAAAUGGACAUGAAAAAAAAAGAGUGGAGGGAGAGAACGGGCUGUCUCAUUAGGGGCAGAGUAAUUGGGAGUGUGUAGCAAGGUGUAAAUGGGUUUUUGUGUGAGAGACUGACUUGAUUUAUAAGCUUUCACUUAAAGCACAAUAAAAAUUAUUAAAAAAAAAAACUUUAUGGAUCACAACAGAACAUUGUUCAAUAUAAUGCUGGAAGAUGAACCCUCUAGGUUGAAAGUCUCUCAAAACACUCAGUGGCUGCAACAACGGACUUGAGCAUGCCAACAAUCAUGAAGAUGGCUCAGGAUCAGGUGCCGUUUCAUUCUAUUGUACAUGGUGUUGCCAUGAGUCAGAGCUGCCUGAAUGGCAAUGAAGAACAAUAACACCAUCUACUGAGUUCUUAAAUUCACAUAUAUUAUCUCAUUAGAUCAUCAUAUCAACCCUGUCUUUUAUCGAGAGAGGGUGCACCUAAAGCUUGAAGAGCUGGAGAAGCCCAAACACUUUUGACUGCUUAGACCACCUAGGGUGCAAUAAUAAAAGUGUCCCCAGGGCUGUAGUAGGGUUAGAUUCAGUGACCACAGGCUCAAAUGAUCUUCUGCCUGCUCCAAUGCAUGUGGUUAGAAAAGUCUUCCAAGCCCUUUGCUGGGAGGCUCAGCAGAUCCAAGAUCCCCAGCGUGAGGGUGGGUAGUGUUUGGGCAGAUCUAGGGGGCAGUUCGCCAGUACAGGAAGCUGCUGGGCACUGGUCAUUCUGCCAAAGGACACAGCUCCUGGAGGCCUCUGGGCACCUGGUAAUGAUUAGUGCAGCUGCUAGGGCCCCAGCCUCAAGGGCAACAGGCCUCCUUGUGAAUUUGCAAGCUGAUCUUAUCUGCCAGCAGGUGGGUACCAGCCAUAUGAUGGAGCUCCCUCUGAGACACAUGCAAAAAUGCCUAAGAAGAAACUGCAUAUCUAGCUCCUCCUCGGCCUGACUUUAAUGAGCAAGUCCUUACCAUCUCCCAGUGGCUCUCCUCACCCCAAUGCCAGCUGCCAGCACCUCUGCUGUAGCCUGUCUGCUUGCCCAUCAGGGAUUUUACUAAAGCUCAAGGCAAAUUUGGUCUUUAAAAAAAAAAAAAGUUGCAAUUGAGUUGAUAUCAACUCAUGAGGACUGCAUGUAUGUCAAAGAACGGUGCUCCAUAGGGUUUUCAGUGGCUUAUUUUUUUGGAAAUAGAUCUCCAGGCCUUUCUUCUGAGGCACCUCUGGCACCUUUCUGGCACCUUUCUGUUAGCAGCCAAGCACAUUAAUCUUUGCACCACCCAGCAACUCCUGAAUCUGUUCUACCCUUUAUUAAAGCCACUUGGUGGUCUUUCAACGUUUCUCUAGAACCUUUUUCCAGGGCCUACCUCCUUUCUCUCUUUCCCAAACCUGGUAGGUGGGAACUUUCAGCAAGGGCGUGGACAAACCACUGAGUCAUUGCAGAUGUUUAAGCAGAGGCUGAGGGGGGCUCCCUUUGUGUCUUUGGGCCUGCAGUUCUAGGAUCCCCCUUAGUCUGACAUUGGUAAGCCCCACAGAAAGAAUAGCACGGACACUAGAGUCAGCCCACCUUUUCUUGGAAGCUGUGUGAUAGUGAGCAAGCUAUUCAUUUAUCUUCCUGAGCCAUUUUCUCAUCUAUACACUGAGGAAGAUGAAACCCACCUUGCAGGAUGAUUGCAAGGACAUAAUAACAGGAGUUUUGUAAAAUCCCUAGCACAGUGUUUGGCACUGCAGUUGUUGCUCUGCUAUGUGAGCCACAGAGAGAUCUGCCACCUUGUGCAGUAGCCGUGGCCAUAGGCAUGAACAGAAACAACUUGAGGAUGGGCAGGAAGCCCAUUGUCCCACUGGGAGGGCAACUCAUGAAACCCCUCCCAUUGCUCCAGUAUUUCCAUAGUCCUUAGGUUUGGAUUUGCUGUUCGCCAAAGAUUUUCAACCUUCUAGUAAACCAGUUGCCAUUGAGUUGAUUCCAACUCAUGGCAACCCCCUUGAAUGAUGCAAACAGUUAAUGUACUUGGCUGCUAACUGAAAGGCUGACAGUUCAAGUCCAGUCAGAGGUGCCUUGGAAGAAAGACUUGGCAAUCUACUUCCAAAAAAAUCAGCCAUUUAAUAUCUUAUGGAGCACAGUUCAUCUUUGACACACACAGGAUCACUAUGAGUCUGAAUUGACUUGAUGGCAACUUUUUUUUUUUUUUUUAAUUCCUGGGUAGUGCAAAUGGUUAAUGCACUUGGCUACUAACCAAAACACUGGCAGAGGUGUCUCAGAAGAUAGAUGGUGUCUCAGAAGAAAGGUCUGGUGAUCAACCACCAAAAUAUCACCCACUGAAAACCCUGUGGAAUACAGUUUCAAUCUCCUAGCUUUGCUUAUGUUGUUCCUGCCACCUAGCACAUACUUACUUCAGUAUUUACUCGCGUGGUUACUCAACAAUGACUGAUUGAUUUUUCUGAUCCUGAUAUUGUGUCAGGCACUGGGGAUAUGGCUGUUAACAAAACAGACCUGGUGUUCACUCCCCAUGAAGCUUGCAUUCAUUCUAGUUGGGUGAGUGCUAAAGAAAUUAAAACAAGAUAACUUUGAUAGUUUGAAAUGCUCUGAAGAACUGAAGGCAUGUGCUUGGAUAGAGUGACUGGUGGGUGGGGCAGGAGCUGCUUUGGGAAGGGAUUUAAGGAAUGGAUCCAAGCCCCAGAAGCCAGUCUGGCUAAUGAGCAUGGAACAGGAUCUGAAUGGAGAACACUGGGAAACUUGUUGAAUCUAUAGGAAUGGAAAACUAGACUUGGAAAAGGGGCGUGUUCCAGCUGAAACCACGGCCAAACCAGCCAUAGGACAGUCUGCCAGGAACCUGCCACAAGUGCACCUGUCUGGCACGCUCGUUGCCACCCUGUGGAUUCUUGGCUUAAUUCCUGUCACCACUGCAAAUAAUUUCUGACUACCCCAUAUGGGUCACAUACCUGCCCCAUAAUUCCCAGGGGGGAGGAGAAAGAAGAUAUCCGUCUUUCUUUGGCUUUUCUGAUAAGAAGGCUGGUCUGACCCUCAGUAGCCAAGAAAUGGGAAAUGUCUGAGAAGGUGACAUCUGAUUUGAGGUCUAAAUGGUGAGGAGACAGUCAUGUGAAAAUUCAGGAGGGGGGUGUUAUGGAUAGAAUUGUGUCCCCCCAAAAUAUGUAUUGUAAAUCCUAACCCCAUAACUGUGGUUAUAAUCCCAUUAGGGAAUGAGUUUUCUUUGUUAACAGUUUUAGUGUAGGGUGUGUCUUGAGUCAAUCUAUUUUGAGAUAUAAAGGGAGCAGAUUAAGUAAGACAGUGAAGAAGCAGAGAUGGGGCAAGAGUGAUGCCAAGCCACAUGAGGAUCGCCCAGGAGCAGAAGCUCAAAAGAGACAAGGACCUUACUCCAGAGCUGACUGUGGUGUAUUAAUUACUUUUGUGUGGUCUUUCCAGCCAUUGUCUUCUAACUCCCAGCUGGGUAAUUGGGUGGGACUAUGUGAUAAGUUGGCAGGAUUUGAAGGCAUUUUAUCUUCAGUGAAUCCCAAGAAAUUGAGGACCAGAGACCAAUGUCAGCAUGAGCCCUUCAACUCAUCCAUCUCCACAGACUCUCAAGGAUCCCUUGAGGAGCUGCUCCCAAAGAUUUACUUGAGCAUCAGAAAUCAACCCCAUAUGAAGAAAUAGAGAAAUGGAACAGAUCGAGUUUCUCCCAGCAUUCCACCUCUGGAAUAUGGAAGGUCCCAGCGAGAACAAAUCUUUACAAAUCCACAUGCUAGAAGCAUUGCAUGCAAACAUCCAUUUGGGAAAAGACAAAAUGACGGAAAUCUUAAAAACAUAUUGGUGGGGGCAUUUAUAUGAAGCUGUGGGUUGUGUGGUAUCCCAUUGCCCUAUUUGUGCCCAAUUUAUUCAGAUUUAUUGGAAAAGACACCAGUUAAAAAAUUCUCUCAAAUCUUGAUGUAAAGGACUUUACCUGGUCCUUCUCACUAAUCUUUGUGCUGGUAAAUUAGAGGAAGUGAAGUCUUGGGCUCAUCUCUCCCAGCUGAGGAAGGUUGUGGCUCCUGCCUGGAAAGUUUGAUCAACUGAGGGACUUAAGUAGAAAUUCAAAUACCCUGGUGGCGAGAGGCAGACAACUGUGCCCAAAGUGGGCAGCUUUCCCAAGAUCGUGGAACAAGACCUCCCACCUAUUCUGUCAAAUGCUAGCCCCUGAGACCGUUGGACUUUGUUUAAUCCUUAUUGCUUUUGAGGUUGCUUUGUGUUGCCAACUUGGGUUUAAUGACUAGUGAGAAUUUUUCAUAAAAAAACUAUAUAUUCUCUAUCUGUUUCAUAUUCAUUGCUAUAUUUAUGCUAGCUGCUACGUUAUACACUGUUGAUAUUAUCCCGUUUUCAUACUGUUCUUUUUUCAUGCAAAUAAGUGAAAUACUUAUUGUUAGUUUAAACUUUUAGUUGCUAUUUUGUUACUCACCCCAUUAUUUUACUAGGUUGUUAUUGGCCUUUGUUUUAAACACCACUGAUCUCCUAACCAUCAUCUCUUUCCUCAGUGUUAUUCUUUCGCUCAUCGAAUUUUGAGAUCUUUUUAUUGUUAAAUGGUAGUAGAUGAAAACCCUCGUCCUACCUAACUACCAUUUUUAUUACCUUUCCUUUAUUGUGUUAUUUUUGGUUUGUCUUUUUCCACUAUGAGGCUCUUAAGUAUUCUGUUAUUGUCUUGCACCACUCCACCAACACCUGACACAAAAAUGCCUUUUGAAGCUAGCUUAGUCAGUAGCUAGCGCCAGUAAUCUGGCUGGUGGAUUUGUCAUCAAAUUCUUAAAACUGGACAUGCUAACUCUGACCCGCUGGCCUUGCUAGUUCUUAAUUAUAGUUUUAUACCUAAUGCCCUGAUAAAUGCUAGUGCUAUUGCCAGAAAGGCUAUCUGUGUUAGGCUAUGGCAUCAAUCUAACUUCCCUAUUUAUUCCUUAAGUAUCCUGUUUUUUCCUUUCCUCUGUUUGGACAAAUCCUGAAGUUACUUAUACCAAUGGAUGUGCUAUUCCCUUUGUUGGCAACAGCCGAUAUUAUAUAGCCUUUGUAGAUUUUUGUAAUUAUGAGAAUCCAGAUGCCCCAAGUUGCUACCAUUUAAAGGAGAAAUCGGAGUUAGGGAAAUUGACCAUUUGUAGCAGCUCUCUUACUGAAAAAUGGCUUGAAGAAGCAAAUUGGGCUAUCCCUUUCCUUGAUAUUCAGACUGGAACAGGGACAAUUUGUGCACCCUGGGUAUGUAUUUUUAUGUAGAAGAUUCACUUAUUUAAAGGAAAAUGACCAUAUUUAACCUCAUACUUGGGCACUACCUUUCUUAGACAAAUGGAGCAUAUAUGGCCAAUGUACCUUAGGGACUCUUGGGGUCCCUCUAAACCUCCAUUCCUAUGAUGAAAGCACAUAUUGGACUAAUGAUUUGAAACUUCUUACCAGAAACAAAAGAGAAGCUAGUAACAACCCUGUAAUAGAUAAACCUAGAGACAGAUGUGCAUUCCUUCAAGGCCUUUUCCGCUUGUUGAUAUCCCUGAACUUUUUCAUCUAUUUACAAUUUUUACACUACAAUGUUGCAGAUAACUAAUGACCCUACUGAUAGCAUAGAAGCUCAACCAAACCCAUUGCCGUCAAUUUCAACUCAUAACGACCCUGUGGGACGGAGUACAGUCCUUAAAUACCAUUAUUAAAGUAGUAUUAGACAACAGAAAUUCCUUUGAUUUCCUUUUAGCCCAGCAAGAAGGUAUAUGUGCAGUUGUUAAUACCCCUGGUUGCACUUGGAUAAAUACUUCAGGAGAAGUGGAACAAGACCUUUAAGUAGGUAUAUCAAAAGACAACCUGGCUUCAGGUAUACCCUAUGUCUGAUUCACCCUUCUUUGCAUCUUUAGCUGGUUACCUAAAGGUGCUGGAUCAUGGAUUUGAUCCAUAUUAUUUACUAGCCUACUAAUACUUCUUGCUGUAAUAGUUGUUAUUCAGCUAAUCAAAUGUUGUAUGAAAUGUAUGACUAAAGUAUGGCUCACAACACUAAUUUAAUGCCUAUGAAAAGAAUAAUGUACAUUAAAAAUGUUCAUGUUCCAAAUGGAUUCUAGCCUACCCCCUGAAAUAGAGCCCCUAGAUGCCAGGUUAUUCCUCCAAUGUGCCCAAACCCCACAUGGACCCUAACAACUGGACCACAGGAAGCAAGAGGCUAAAAGUAUAGCAUGAUGAUGUUGGUUGGUGCCCGGCUACUUUUCACAUACAUAGUGUCUGAGGUCUUAACGGCUUAUUUACCAAGCAGCCAUCCAAAAUAACCACCAGAAGACCAUGCAGAAGAAAGCACUCUGUAUUAGUGGUCAAUGAAAUGAUCAACAAAUUUCUCUCAAAAUUCUUGAUUAGAAGGAGGGAAUAUGCAAGGGUUCCAAAACUGAGGUGCCUGGCAUGUGUAGGGUCGUUGGCUCAAGUAUAGGCCAGACUCCGUUUUGUGACUUCUGCUUCUGCAUUCCUGAGAAUGUAACUUUGUUGUCUUCAUAUGCAUAUGGCCCUGGACCUCUAGCUGCGUGGAACCAGCAGCCUGACUUCUUCCCAUUCAUAUGCGUAUGACCUUGGGUCUCUGGCUAGGCAGAAGAACUAGCACUCUGGCUCCCUAUCAAUCAUCUUGUGACCCCCUUGUGAGCACAUACUUUAACAAUUAUGUGAGUGUACUCAAUCCCCUUAAUCCACAUAUAGUCUGUCAACCAAUCCCAAUCAAAGCCCUGCUUCAAGAUAUCCUGCCUUCCACUUUACUGAUUGCUUGCCUACCAAUCAGAAUAUUGUAAGCUAAGUUUCUGAUUUAUCCCUAUAACUCUGACCAUGUGACCGCAGGUUUUCAGAGUGCUGUUUUUCAUGUUGCGAGAUCCAAAAUGUCCCCAGUUUGAGCUGCCUUUGCUCUCAAUAAAUCUCUUUACUUUCA